AUACGGGGGAUGCAAGCAUUAUUCGGAAUCAUUGGGCGUAAAGGGCACGCAGGCGGUUCUGUCAGUCAGAUGUGAAAGCCCGGGGCUUAACCCCGGACGUGCAUUUGAAACAGCAGGACUUGAGUAUGGUAGAGGAAAGCGGAAUUCCUGGUGUAGAGGUGAAAUUCGUAGAUAUCAGGAGGAACACCGGUGGCGAAGGCGGCUUUCUGGACCAAAACUGACGCUGAGGUGCGAAGGCGUGGGUAGCGAACAGGAUUAGAAACCCUAGUAGUCC
rnacentral:rRNA from 1 species